rnacentral:misc_RNA from 1 species
GAUGAAGAACGCAGCAAAAUGCGAUAAGUAGUGUGAAUUGCAGAAUUCAGUGAAUCAUCGAAUCUUUGAACGCACCUUGCACCCUUUGGCAUUCCGAAGGGUAUGCUCGUUUGAGUGUCAUUGUACUCUCACACUCCCGAUCUUUGGAUUGGGAGCGGUGGACUUGGGUUUGCUGCUUGCCGUGGCUCACCUCAAAUGGAUUAGUGCAACUCUUGGUUGACCAUAGUACGGCGUGAUAAGUGUCUUCGCCGGCACCUCACUGGGUGGGCCGAUCGGGAGCUCUGUGCUUCAAACCGUCUUCGGACAACAACUGACAACUUGACCUCAAAUCGAGUAGGACCACCCGCUGAACUUAAGCAUAUCAAUAAGCGGAGGA